CGGGGCGUAGCGCAGGGGUAGCGCGCCUGUCUUGGGAACAGGAUGUCGCAGGUUCAAAUCCUGUCGCCCCGA
rnacentral:tRNA from 1 species